ACACCUCUUCUCCUAUACUUUCUUCUCCCUUGAUCUCAUGUUCACGGUGGAUCUCUUCCACUGCUUCUUCACUUGAGAUAUUGUCAGCAAUAGCUUGGUGAAGGUUCUCAACAGUUCCUUUUUCUGUACUGAUAUGCUUUUGAAUGGUCUCACUUGCAUCAAUUUUCACAAUUUCCUUGCACAAUACUUCAGUUUGCAUUUCCUCUGCUAACACCUUAUCUCCUAGAAUAUCUUCACCCUUUAUUUCUUGUUCUUGGUGGAUCUCUUUAGUUGC
rnacentral:misc_RNA from 1 species